UCCACGUGAUCACCUUCGGAUGCCCACUGGGAGCGAGCCUCGGCUUUCCCGGAGAGGUCCCCGAGCCGACCGGAAGCGGGAAGGCAGGUGUUGACCCUCGGGCCUCGCUCUUGCCCCUUGUCAUCCCCUAAAGCGAUGGAGCACCUACUGUGAGUGAACUAAAGGUCAAGUUUCAACAUGAACCUGGUUGUGAGUUACAAACUUGAUUGGAAGUGGCAACCCAUCACUGUAUCUUCACAGAUUUGUGGCUUUUCUCAAAGAAGUGGAUGCAAAGUGUGAUGGCUGAACUGUGAUAAAUGCUUUUUGAGAGGUUUCUUGCACUUCAAAGAGAUAAUUGCUUUUCUGAAAAACACUGCAAGUUUUGAUACUGAGAUGUUCCUGGAAAAGCUGGAAUAUUCUAUUUUCCUUUUCAAUAUGGUAUUUUUUAUUGACAAACGAACCUCUGAAUUAUUGGAAUCUGCAAUUGCAAGGCAUGGACCAGACUUGUCAGACCUCAUUGGUCACUUGGAUAGUUUCAGAAUCAAAGGUGCACUUUUCAAAAGACUCAGCUGUUGCAUUUGGAUUUUGUCCACUUUACAACGUGCUGCACUUGCAUGCAGCAUGGCACAAAUGCAAGUCAGUUUAGCAGGUACACUACUGAUGUUGAAAUGAUGCUUAAUUUCAACAAAUUUUACAAGUUUUCAGCCUCAUCUGAUCCUUUUUAAUGAUCCACUUGCAGCUGUUGUCAAUGACCAGAUACUGAAUUGCAACAGUAUCUGCAAACUGCGGGCUGAUUUUUUUCUUGGGUGCAGCCACUGAAAGUGAUAUUCAGUUCUGGAAACUGCUUCAGAGUCCUGUUUCCCAAAUCUGAAAAAGUGGUUGUCGAAACUGUUCUAUGUUUGGAAGCGCUUACAUUUGUGAAAGUAACUUCUCUACACUGAAUCACUUGAAGUCAGAAAAGGAAUUGACUGAAAGAUGAAAACACUCUGCCAUCUUAACGAGUUAGAUACACUAAAAUUGAUAGAGAUAAUUUGAUAUAUACACUGAGACUCACCCUCAAGUUUCACUGUAAGAUACUGUAACAAUAAGCAGAGAAAAAACAUUACGUUGCUAUUUUCAUUUAUUAAUCCCCUGCUCUUCUGCAUAUUGAAAAAGAUUAAUGAAAGAUGUUUAAAUGUUUUCUUAAAUUAAAUUAAGAACUUUGGUUUUACACUGUGAAUAAUUUAGCUGUAUGCUAACAUACUGUACCGUCAAACAUUUGAGUUACGCAAUAAACUAAAAAUAAAUCAAUAUUGAUUAUAUAGUCCA